rnacentral:sRNA from 1 species
UAGUUCAUGUAGUAAAUAUUUUUACAGAUAGGUUGGAAUAAAGGUGGCUAAUCUCAUAAAAAAUGGGGUGAUGCCUUUGGUUUCUACUCCAAGAGUGGAUAGAAGAUGACGGAUUAUGAAAUGUUAAUGGUUGUUUUAACGAUCAUUAGACUCAUAUUAUUUUGAAAUUAAUUAAAC